UCCGUAGGCGGUGUGGCAAGUCGGAAGUGAAAUCUCUGGGCUUAACUCAGAGGCUGCUUCCGAAACUGCCGUGCUAGAGUGCGAGAGAGGCAAGUGGAAUUGCGGGUGUAGCGGUGAAAUGCGUAGAUAUCCGCAGGAACAUCCGAGGCGAAAGCGGCUUGCUGGAUCGCAACUGACGCUGAGGGACGAAAGCUAGGGGAGCGAACAGGAUUAGAUACCCUGGUAGUCCUAGCCCUAAACCAUCAGGACUUGGGGUUUGCCCUGUACGGGGCAAGUCCCGUAGCUAACGCGUUAAGUCCUGCGCCUGGGGAGUACGGUCGCAAGGCUGAA
rnacentral:rRNA from 1 species